CAGGAGCCCAGGUGCGGCCCGGAGCCCACUGAAGUCUUCACUGUCGGACCCAAGACCUUUUCCUGGACACCCUUUCCGCCGGACCUGUGGGGCCCGGGCCGUUCCUACCGGCUGCUUCACGGGGCAGGAGGGCACCUGGAAUCCCCCGCCAGGUCCCUGCCCCAGCGCCCGGCACCUGAUCCCUGCAGGGCCCCCAGGGUGGAGCAGCAGCCGUCUGUGGAGGGUGCCGCGGCCCUGCGCAGCUGCCCCAUGUGCCAGAAGGAGUUCGCCCCCAGAAGCAAAAACAGCUCGGGAAUGCGAAGGCACCGGAGUCCAAAGUUGGCAGCCAACAACAACAACAACAAAAGAAAAGGCCGGGCACGGUGGCUCACGCCUGUAAUCCCAGCCCUUUGAGAGGCUGAGGCAGGCUGACCCAGCUGGAUGUUGACAGCCACCUGGCCCAGUGCUUGGCCGAAAGCACAGAAGACGUGACGUGGUGAGCGCCAUCCAAGAGCCCUGCGCAGAGUGCGGCGCCCGGACACGCUCUCCCCCGCCAGCAGCCCCGCCUCUCGGCUCCCCCGCCAGCAGCCCCGCCUCUCGGCUCCCCCGCAUGCGCAUUAAAGCAGGGCGGGCUCCUGUCUGUCUCUGUGUUGUGA
rnacentral:lncRNA from 10 species